AGAAAUAAAAGGGCAAAGGAAGAAGAAAGAACCAAGAGCAAGAAAAACAAAAAGAAAACCGUGCAUGAGAAAGGAAAACAAAAGGAAAAGAGAGUUGAGUUGAGGGGCUGUUUUUGCUACCAUUCAAGAAGGGAAAGAGAGCCAUUUAAGGGCUGGUUUUGGAGGCUAAAAAGAGCCAUUUUUCUGCUGGUUUUGGAGGCUGGAAAGUACCAUUUUUUUGCUGAUUUUGGAGGCCAAAAAGUGCAGAAUUUUGCAGCAAAAAAUUUAAGGUUUGAGGUGCUGUUUUGAUGGUUAAUUGUGGUUGUUUUGGCUUCAAAUUUUUUUGAAGGAAAGGUGCAGCUUAGCUGCUGAAAUUUGAAGGAAAAACAAAGCAGCAUAACUGCUAAUUUUGAAGUAAAAAAGAGCAGCUUUAGUUGCUGAAAAUUUCUAGAUUGAAAGACAAUAAGUGUGACUAGUGGUGAGAGGGAGAGAAAGGAAGAGAGUGGACGGUUUAUGCAUGUGAAGAGAAGAAAAAGGAAGACAACAAGGCUGCUGGUCGGCUGGAGGAAGAAGGAAG
rnacentral:lncRNA from 1 species